UACGGGGGGGGCAAGCGUUGUUCGGAAUUACUGGGCGUAAAGGGCUCGUAGGUGGCCAACUAAGUCAGACGUGAAAUCCCUCGGCUUAACCGGGGAACUGCGUCUGAUACUGGAUGGCUUGAGUUCGGGAGAGGGAUGCGGAAUUCCAGGUGUAGCGGUGAAAUGCGUAGAUAUCUGGAGGAACACCGGUGGCGAAGGCGGCAUCCUGGACCGACACUGACACUGAGGAGUGAAAGCCAGGGGAGCAAACGGG
rnacentral:rRNA from 1 species